GAUGAAGAACGCAGCGAAAUGCGAUAAGUAAUGUGAAUUGCAGAAUUCAGUGAAUCAUCGAAUCUUUGAACGCACAUUGCGCCCCUUGGUAUUCCGAGGGGCAUGCCUGUUCGAGCGUCAUUAUAACCCCUCAAGCUCAGCUUGGUGUUGGGGCCUGCUGCACUGGCAGCCCUUAAAAUCAGGGGCGGCGCCGUCUGGCUCUAAGCGUAGUAAUUCUUCUCGCUAUGGAGUCCUGGUGGAUGCUUGCCAUCAACCCCCAAUUUUUCUAUGGUUGACCUCGGAUCAGGUAGGGAUACCCGCUGAACUUAAGCAUAUCAAUAAGCGGAGGA
rnacentral:misc_RNA from 1 species